CUGCUCUUUUAAGAAUUGUUAUAAGAAAAAAAGUGAAGAUCAACAGAAAACCUCCUCUUGUUCCCUUUUUAGCAACCGGAGUAUAUAAUAGAAUGGCCAAACCACCAUAAAAGAAGUACUCCUACUAUAUAUCUCCACAUUUUGGAGAAUUAAUGACCAACUGUUAGCUGAGUUUUUAACUGCAAAGUCAUCAAAUUUGGUGAGAAUUUACGACUGCACUGAAAAUCAGGGAGCUGUCUGAAAUGUCUAUUUUUUGCAUGAAAAAAUCAUGGAAGGUGAGAAUUCAAUAAUAAAGUUCAGAAUGUGCAUAUCUACUUAAAUUUCAAUUCAGUAUCUAGCUAUUCAGACACUCAAAUUUCUUGCAGCAAAAAAGAAAUUUUAAAAAACUGCUUUCCAUGUCGAAACAUACAUUUUGAUUUCAGCUGUUCGUUUCUCUUUCCAGGUUUACGCCGUUCACUUCAAGUGCAACAAGAAGCUCCUGAGAGAGUACCCUAACCUGUUCAACUACACCAAGGACAUCUACCAGAUCCCCGGGAUCAACAGCACGGUGAACAUGGAGCACAUCAGGAAGCACUACUACGGGAGCCACCCCUCCAUCAACCCCUACGGGAUCAUCCCUCAAGGCCCCAACAUCGACUACAAUGCCCCACAUGACAGAGAGAGGCUGUUCCUGUAAAAAGAACCACCGUUUGCUUGUGUACUUGGGAUGCUGUGAUGUGAUUUGCUUUGCUUGUGUCCGAAGCUGAAAGGUGAAAGCCUUUUUCUCAAAUAAUGAUUUUUGUCUUUGCUGUGCGCUGGUUGUGGUACUGGGAGCAGCAUGCGUGUAAUAAGGUUCUCUGCAUCCAUGUCGUUUUCGUCCAUUAAUAUGACAACACAGAUGUAAAUCAAGACAAAAGAUAUCCAUGGUUGUAUUACACCAAAAAUAUCAAAUCAAAGUAAGAAAUUACUUAACUAUAUUAAUGAGAAAAAUCACACCAUACAUACAGGCCCUCACAAAUAUGGAGUAGAAAAGCGACGAAGUUAAAAAAACACGCCUUCACCACCUCCUCUCCACCAUGAAUUUUAGUAUUUUACACUUAUGUUUCACAAAAUCAAUGUGAAAUACUAGGCAAAAUCUAGCAUAAAUAUAAUUUAUAAUAUAAAUCUUGAAACCUACAAGUUUAUACAACAUUAUCAAAAUUUUAAUUUAGAAAUUGGCAGGGGCCGCGCGAACGCGUACCCCCUCUAUCAUAAAUUAUGACGUUCAUUCUCCCACUUGGGGAGAUGAUAGGCGAGCACAUCAACCAAGUGCAAUGUUGGUCACUAGCCUAGGCCAUGACCCUUCUUGAUCGGCCAUAGACCCCGUCCAGGUAAGUAUGUUACAACAGAGCACUAGACGCUAUUAUAUAGUGAGGGUGCCCCCUUCACCACCCUUUAGCAAGCGGGGUGGUACUAAUGACGGGUAAUUAGCGCAUCUGUCCUGCGGACUUGGCUUCAAAGAUCGGGGCUAAUUCGAACUUUUGGCCCGAUAGACUUACAUGGGCCAACCAAACUCCUUGUUCGGCUGUGGCCCAGGUCCAGCAUUGCGACUGAGUCCUCUUAUAUGACGCUUUAUGAUCUUCUUGAAAAGAAAAAUUGACGCUUCAUCAUGCGUCGAAUAGUUGGGCAAACGCCCGUACCAGCCUAGAUGCGCUGGAAGGGGAGCGGCCCUUUAAGUUUCUUGAGUUUUUUUUUAUUUGGAAAAGUAAUCUUACAUUGGUUACCAGGUUAAAGGGUUAUAUAAAUUUAAAAAUAUGUUUAUAAGAAGUACUUUUAAAGCAAAUUAAAUAUCAUAAAUGGUAUUGUGACUUCUUUUAAACAUGUAUUUGGAAAAAACCAUCAUGUGUUAAAAAAAUCAUUGUAUAUUCGGAAAAUGUUUAGGGUGCAUUUAAAAACAUUGUUGUGUACAUGCAAAAUGUGCACCACAUAUUAAAAUAAAAAUUAUUACUUAUAUAAUAAAAAUUGUUCAAUGCAUAUCUAAAAAUUGCAUUCAUUGUUUAUUUGAAAAUGUUCAUAGUACAAAAAGUAUAUAUAGAAAAGAGAAACAAAAAUGAAAAAAAUGAAAGGAAACUAAACUAACCAAAAACUGGAGGAAAAGAAAGAAAAGGUAAACGAAACACUAAAAAUGAUGGAAUAAAUAAAUAAAAAUAAAGAGAAAAAGAAAUAAGAAAACAUGAAUAACAAUGAAAACUGAAGAAAAGGAAAAUCGAACGGAAACCAGUAGCGAAAAAAAUUGAAACCAAAAAUCAAGACACCGCUAAAAAAAUGUCAUCAUUUAUCUGACCCAUAUCACUCGCAUGAUCACCCCAUUGUGUCGCAACGUCUAUUUGGUGCUACGAGCAUGAAUUAGGAAAUGUCACUACGUGUGCAUCAUCCGCCUGGACAUCACAAGCGAGGAGGCCUUCUUCUUUCAUUUAGAAAGCAGGGUGGCGAGAAGAUGAUGGUGGUAUCUACCCUCGGAGGUGGAUGUCUUUUGCAAACCAUAGGAUCAUAGAAUCUAGCAUCAGUGCAGAACCUUGUAUUGAAAAUGUAUUAUCAAGCCACUAGUCAGUCAAUUAACUACACAAAAUCAUCCAUAUUCUUGAGCAAAAGAGGUGCUGGAAAGUACCCGGAAUGAGAUAAAAGCUCUCCUAAAUGUCCCAAAUAAAACCCCAAAUGAAAACUAUUUGGGCAUGCCUAUAGAUAUUGGGAACUACAAGAAUGGUGUGUUUAAGUACCUUAAGGACUAGUUGUGGAGUAGAAUACAUGGAUGGACUGAGAACAACAUGUCAAUAGCUGGUGAAGAGGUUCUAGUCAAGGCAGUUGCACAGGUCGUGCCAGUUUACUCCAUGUCAUGUUUUAAACUCCCGUGAGGCUUAUGUGAACACUUGAAUAUGAUGAUCGGAGGUUUUAGUGGGGUAGCAAAGAGGGCAAAUGCAAGCCAGAUUGGGUUUCUUGGAAAUUAUGACCCAACAAAAAGGUACGGGAGAGUUGAGUUUCAACAAUUUCGAGCUCUUUAACUUGGCUAUGUUGGGCAUGAUGCCUACUGCAAAAUCCAGAGACUUUUAAGUGCCUGUCUCCUGAAAAGUAUAUACUAUCCAAACGGUAUGAUCUUGAAUACUUCUCUUGAUGAUCAGCCCAGUCAAGUAUGGAUGGUGAUAUUGAAGGGAGACAAACGUUGAGACAGGGUUUGAUCAAAAGCAUUGGCAACCGUCAAAUCACAAGCAUACGGGGAUGGUAACUGGAUUCCUCAAAAUGUGAUGAUGAGACCAUACGGGUGCCUGACUACCAAUCCUCCCAAUUUUGCGUCAGGUGAUGCUACCUCGGCAUAAUGGAAUAGACAAAGAGUUGUCGAGGUGUUUAUGCCCAUGGAUGCGUGAGUGAUCCUUGGAAUACUCAUGUACACUAGGAAUAUAGUGGAUUUUUGGAGCUAGAGUUAUGAGAAGAAUGGAUUUUUUGUGUGGAACUUAAUCGUUGCCUGCUAUAAGUUCUUGUAUCAUUUUUCUGGUCCACUCUAUCUUAAUCAGUGGAUCCAGAAGAGUUGUUCUAUGAAUCUAGUGGAUCCAAAAGUGGAUUUUUAAAACCCGGGUGUAUUGGAGGAUCUUAUUUUAAAUACUUUGAAAAUCACAUUUAAGGUUUCAAAAAAUUCUGAAAAAAAUUCUACAUGAUCAUAUGCAUGUAUAUUACACAUGAGUAAAGUUUGGUAAUGAAAUAAGUAAAUAUGCGACCUAUACAAAAAUGACAAAAUGGUGAUUUCCAAAUAGUGAAUAAUGCAUUCACUGUUCCUCUUUCCAAAAUCACCAUUGUGUCAUUUUUGUGUAACUCACAUGGUUACUUAUUUCAGCAUCAAAAUUUACACAUGUGUAAUGUACAGUCAUAUAAACAUGUUGAUUUAUUUUCAGAAUUUUUUAAAACUUCAAAAUAGCAUUUUGGUACAGUUCAAAAAUAGGGCUCCAAUGCACCCGGGUUCCAAAGUGACUUUUUGGGCCAAAUCACCAUAAAAGAAGUAUAUAUCUCCAGAUAUUGGAGAAUGAUCAACUGUUAGCUAAGAUCUUAACUGCAAAGUCAUCAAAUUUGGUGAGAAUUUACUACUACACUAAAAAUCAGGGAACUGUCUGAAAUGUUUGGUUUCUUAUGGAAAAAAACAGGAAAGGUGAGAAUUUUAACAAUAAAGUUCAGAGUGUGCACAUUAUAUUCAGAAUAUCUACUAAAAUUUGAGUUUCAUGUAUACAUCAAGCUAUUCUCGCAAACUUAUUUAGCGAAAACCAUACCACACACUAAGAAAUCAAAUGCUACGACUUUCCAUGUAGAAACAUACAUUUUUGAUUUUUCGACCCGCGGUUCGCUUCUCUUUUCAGGUUUACGCCGUUCACUUCAAGUGCAACAAAAAGCUCCUGAGGGAGUACCCCAACCUGUUCAACUACACCAAGGACAUCUACCAGACCCCCGGGAUCAGCAGCACGGUGAACAUGGAGCACAUCAGGAAGCACUACUACGGGAGCCACCCCUCCAUCAACCCCUACGGGAUCAUCCCCCAAGGCCCCAACGUCGACUACAAUGCCCCACAUGACAGAGAAAGGCUGUUCCUGUAAA
rnacentral:lncRNA from 1 species